GAUGAACGCUCGCUACAGGCUUAACACAUGCAAGUCGAGGGGAAACGACAUUGAAGCUUGCUUCGAUGGUCGUCGACCGGCGCACGGGUGAGUAACGCGUAUCCAACCUGCCUCUGACCAAGGGAUAACCCGUCGAAAGUCGGCCUAAUACCUUAUGCAGUCGUCGGAAGUCAUCUGAUGACGACGAAAGAUUUAAUCGGGGAGGGAUGGGGAUGCGUCUGAUUAGCUUGUUGGCGGGGUAACGGCCCACCAAGGCAACGAUCAGUAGGGGUUCUGAGAGGAAGGUCCCCCACAUUGGAACUGAGACACGGUCCAAACUCCUACGGGAGGCAGCAGUGAGGAAUAUUGGUCAAUGGGCGAGAGCCUGAACCAGCCAAGUAGCGUGCAGGAUGACGGCCCUAUGGGUUGUAAACUGCUUUUAGGCGGGGAUAAAGUGAGGGACGUGUCCUUCAUUGCAGGUACCGCAUGAAUAAGGACCGGCUAAUUCCGUG
rnacentral:rRNA from 1 species